CCGCUCUGCCAUGCCCUCUGGGUAGUGUUUUUCAUUCCAGGCUGGGGAUCCGGUGGUGGGAAGCAGGUGCAGAGCCUGCAGGGAGAACUCAGACGAAAUGUAGGACUUUAAGACCCAAGCUCAGAUUCUACAACGCCCACGGGACUAAGAGGUCUGUGGGUUGUGCUACCUUCCAUCAGAUUUUCAGAAACUAAAAGUUGUCCCUACGUGGAUCUAAUAAGUCACCUCCUAUCUCCUGGAUUUGCCCUUCCGGUCUUCUCAUCACCUUUGCUGCCUUGUGGGCCCUGGAUUUAUUUAGGUGGCAAACUGGAGAUCAGAGUUACUGACCUCCCAGAGCAAGCAGCAGGUAUCCUGGGCAGACAUGGGUUCUGGAGCGUCUGGCUUCUAUGGAAUAGCUAAUCACCCUCCAGGCUAUAACGCAAGUGAGUUAUCUGUAGAGAUUCCCUGCCUUUCACUGGUAUCUUGAUGAUAACAGCAACUUCCUGAUUCCCUGGACCAAGAACAGUGUAAUCUGAAAGUUAGGUUCUCCUUCCCAACUUCCUCUGCAAUGUUUCUGUCAGCAUCUGGCACUGUUGGAGCUGAGGAGGUGGCUCAAUGGGCAAGGCACUUCCUGACAGAUGUGAGGACAUGAGUUCAUGUAACCAGAACUCAUGCUUAUAUGGACCCGGGCUUGGUCAUGAGCAUCUGAACUCAUAAUGCUCUGGGAGGCAGAGGCGGGGAUAUCCUGAGUUAGCCUGGCAUACACAGAAGUGAACAGCGAGAGACCCAAGGUGGUCUCAAGGUAGAUAGCAAGGACCUCUGACCCCAACCCCAACGUGAGUUUCUUGGCAUAUUCAUACUGGCACUAACACACACCAUAUACACACAUCACACA
rnacentral:lncRNA from 1 species